rnacentral:rRNA from 1 species
UGCAGUCGAGCGGAAGAUGGGAGCUUGCUCCCUGAUGUUAGCGGCGGACGGGUGAGUAACACGUGGGUAACCUGCCUGUAAGACUGGGAUAACUCCGGGAAACCGGGGCUAAUACCGGAUGCUUGUUUGAACCGCAUGGUUCAAACAUAAAAGGUGGCUUCGGCUACCACUUACAGAUGGACCCGCGGCGCAUUAGCUAGUUGGUGAGGUAACGGCUCACCAAGGCAACGAUGCGUAGCCGACCUGAGAGGGUGAUCGGCCACACUGGGACUGAGACACGGACCAGACUCCUACGGGAGGCAGCAGUAGGGAAUCUUCCGCAAUGGACGAAAGUCUGACGGAGCAACGCCGCGUGAGUGAUGAAGGUUUUCGGAUCGUAAAGCUCUGUUGUUAGGGAAGAACAAGUACCGUUCGAAUAGGGCGGUACCUUGACGGUACCUAACCAGAAAGCCACGGCUAACUACGUGCCAGCAGCCGCGGUAAUACGUAGGUGGCAAGCGUUGUCCGGAAUUAUUGGGCGUAAAGGGCUCGCAGGCGGUUUCUUAAGUCUGAUGUGAAAGCCCCCGGCUCAACCGGGGAGGGUCAUUGGAAACUGGGGAACUUGAGUGCAGAAGAGGAGAGUGGAAUUCCACGUGUAGCGGUGAAAUGCGUAGAGAUGUGGAGGAACACCAGUGGCGAAGGCGACUCUCUGGUCUGUAACUGACGCUGAGGAGCGAAAGCGUGGGGAGCGAACAGGAUUAGAUACCCUGGUAGUCCACGCCGUAAACGAUGAGUGCUAAGUGUUAGGGGGUUUCCGCCCCUUAGUGCUGCAGCUAACGCAUUAAGCACUCCGCCUGGGAGUACGGUCGCAAGACUGAAACUCAAGGAAUUGACGGGGCCCGCACAAGCGGUGGAGCAUGUGGUUUAAUUCGAAGCAACGCGAAGAACCUUACCAGGUCUUGACAUCCUCUGACAAUCCUAGAGAUAGGACGUCCCCUUCGGGGCAGAAUGACAAGUGGUG